AAAGAGCAAAGCCACUUUGGAAGCCACUCAACUUUGGGCCUGCGGCAGGAAAGCAGCCACAAACAACACAUAAACAAUGAGCAAGGCUGUGCGACAAGUUCAACUGUGGAGAACGGAAACUGACUUCCUAUCAUUUUCACGCAUUAUUCUGCCACAGAGGACACGAACACUCCUGCCCGAAGGGAACAAUAAAGCUUUCUCCAUUCAACAGCACCAAAGACGCCGGAAGCCCGCCAUCUUGAGGACGGCGCAAAGGGGAUUUCCGCAGGGAAGGAGGCGGCCCGGCCGGCCUGACGCACCAAAGUUACGCUCGGGGGCGGGGCCUCCGCCGAGCCUGGACGUUGAUUGCUGCCCUCUUCUUUGACCUUUGACCCCUGCCCCCUCUCCCUACACGCCCUUGGAAAGUUCUGCUCUAGUCCUGUUGUUUCUCGCUAGUGCAGAACCAAGGUUAGUAUCUUAUUUCAAAGAGAAAUAGACACAAAAUAUUUUCCCCCGUUUUUCCUAAGCAACACGUUUACGUGCAAGGCUCUGUCCCUGUAAGUAUUCUCAUUGGUGGGGUUGGGGGGCGGUUAAACCCUGCUCAUACACAUAGGCUAAUAGACCCGCACCAGCCAGUUGACUUCGGAGCUGUUUGGUCCUGCUUCUCCCUUCUCAGUUUGGAGAGAGGGGAACGACGGGAUGUCUGUGUUUUAUCUUUUUGCUAAUUUCCCUCUUAACACCUUGCUUGGACACAGGCGUUCCUUCCCAGUCUCCCAGAGAGAGUAAAUCCUUAACCUGGGGGGGAUGUAAAAGCCCUGUUACCACCCCCCAUACACUUAAUCCAACAAGGCCAAAUACAAAUACAGAACCACACUGUCAUAAUACAGUGACAUGCAGACAAUUUUCCUGUCUCAGUCACACCAUCCAGGUUCAUCUGUUCUCCAUAUAUUGUCGACGUCCCACUGGUUACAGCUGUUAGUGUAAAUAUUCAGUCGUUCUGAGCUCUGUCAUUGUCAGACUUGACUCCAAAUCCAGCACCAUUUGUAAUUACGGGUGCAGUCAACGGGGAAGAGCUCACUCACAUUGUUGCUGACAUCUUGUCCAUCAUUGUUUACUGUCACUACUUGGUGCUUGACCUCUGUCAAUGACCACAACAUUCAAACAAUUAUGUACAAUACAAAACUUGCACUAUGUGCCCAGCUGUCACCCUUUUAGUCCUUUUCAUUGUCAUUUUCACUCACUACUUAAACUACUACAUAGUCAAUAUUUAGCAUGCCACCAGCUGGCACACAGCUGUCUUUGCUGCUGCCCAAUUAGUCACUUUCACUACUGUAUACACAUGUCACUCACAUUUGGGAUCAAAUUUAUUGUAGUUUGUAUUCAGGCAUUUUCGUAGAGUCAGUCCUAUAGCUAUGGGUCUCCUAACGACUCAUUUUCAUAUUCUCCUUUAGUGGGAACCCCCAAUAAAAGUUGUCAGAGUUAGCAAGCAAUAAAAUAUUUAGAGUGGUGUGUGGAGCAAGGUAGAUGCUCAAGGAACAUUUUGAAAUUAGUAAAAUAUUUAGAUCUUUCCUGAUGUA